GUUUCAUGAUCCCCACCACGCCCUCCUCGCCCUUUUCCAUUCGUCCGUGCACGCGUCUCGGUCUCUCUUUUUCUCUAACCCCACCUUCCUCCCCAUUCCUUUUUCCCGUCUCCAAAUCCUCCCUCAUUCCUCCUCCUCGGAAACAACGACCGUAACCGCAUCCCUCUUUCCCCGUCCAACGCUAAUGCUAAUUCCAUCUAGAUAACAUCGCCCUCUGAAGCCUCCGACUCGCGCCCAAUUAUCCCAUUUCCUAUUCUCCAGUCAUCCUUUUCCUCCCAUGAAGAAGAGAUUUUCGGAGUGAAAAGGGGUCGGGAUGGAAGAAACGGUUCCGGACCAGCCGAACGACCUGGCCACCUUGUCGGCCGCUUCGACGCCGGAGGCAACGCCGGAGGCGACGCCGGAGCACCCCAUUGAGGAUACAGCGGCGGCGCCGGCGAUGGAGAAGAGCCCGGGCCAGAGCGCGUCGUUAUCCGGGACGUCCCAGUGCUCGUCGCCGCUCGCCCGGCUCCGGGAGGCGAGGCAUGUACGGAGCAACAGUUUCCAGCGGUGGCGGCGGCAGAUUCAGAGAGCGUGGAGGUGGGGGCCCAGCGGCGGCAACAACAGCAAUAGUGGUAGGGAGCAGGGUUUCAAGACGACAUUGAAUUUGGAGGUGAUGGCAAAUCAGAAGCGACAGUGGUAUCAGAUCCAAUCCAAAUCACGGGAUCUUAGACAAUAUAAGGAGCCAUCCUCACUAUUUGAACACUUCUUCAUUGUGGGCCUUCAUUCUUAUGCAAAUGUUGAAGCCAUUGAAGAUGCUUUUGCAAAAAGAAAAAAAUGGGAGUCAGAGGUGGCGAACUCUGAAAUCCUUGAUCUUCGAAAGCUUCAAUAUCAUGGGUGCAUGCCUACUCUGGAACCUCAGAUCCUUUUUAAGUACCCUCCUGGGAAGAGAGUGGCGAUGAGGGAGAAUGAUUUGCCCGCCUUUUGUUUUCCUGAAGGCGUAAAGGCUCGCUUGAUAGAGAGAACGCCAUCCAUGAGUGAUUUAAAUGAAAUUGUGUUUGGACAGGAGCACCUAUCUCAAGAUGAUUUAUCUUUCAUCUUCUGUUUGAAGGUGUCAGACCAUUCGACUUUAUAUGGUGUUUGUCUGUAUGUCCAGGAGAUAGUUCAGAGAGCCCCGGGUAUUUUAGGUUCUGUUUCACCCCUCAACCAUUCUUGCAAGUCUAGCCGUUUCUUGGUUUCUGCACCACGUUGUUAUUGCAUGCUUACAAGAGUUCCCUUUUUUGAGCUGCACUAUGAGAUGCUGAACAGCAUAAUUGCCCAGGAGCGCCUCGAGAGGAUAACACAAUUUGUUAGUGAAAUGGCUCUCUCAGAUCCCAUUCCACAUGGGAUUGCAGGCCAUGGUCAACUGGACGAGAAUUUUUGUUCGCCUGACAGGCAGUCCUGUAAUGAUUGGAUGGGAUAUGCUAUACCAGUUGACAGUGUAUCAGGUCUUCUUUCUUCGGCAGGUCUUCCAUCAGACAGGGAGGUUUCACCAUUUUUAUUUAGGACUUUUGAACCUCAGUCUCCUGAAAGUGUUUCUGCCAGUGAUGCUUCAGACUUUAGUCAUGUAAGAGAGCUGGAUAAGGAAACCCGGAGGUCUUGGCACCAGUAUGAUGAUAACACAUCUGAGACCUCAGGAUCCCGCUCUGAUAGUUUUGAAAGAGUGAAUGGAAACUUUGAACUUGGGCAAACUUCACCAGAGGUUGGCACAGUAUGUUAUUCUGCCAGCAACAGAUUGGAGCACGUUGAAAGUGUGGAGUCUAUAUACAGGUGCUCAGCUAGAGGCACAGGAUCAGAUGAGGAAGAUGAUGAAUUCAGCUUUAAGCAUGAAAUGAAUAUUAGUGAUGAAAAAGUAAUGGAAUGGGCAAAGGCACACAACAAUGAACCACUAAUGAUAGUUUGUGGUUAUCAUGCUCUUCCCCUGCCACCAAGGGGAGGUGAAAUAGUUUUUCACCCUCUAGAGCAUUUACAGCCAAUCAAGUAUUGCCGACCUGGUGUAAUGUCUCUGAACUUAGAUAAUGAUUUUUCUGACAUUGACCCGUCUUCCCUUGGGGAAGCUAAUCAGGUCAAUGCACGAUUAGCAGCUGCUGAAGAAGCUCUUGCACUAUCGAUAUGGACCAUCGCUACAGUUUGCCGUGCUCUAUCUCUUGAAAGUGUGUUGGCACUCUUUGCUGGAGCAUUAUUGGAAAAGCAAGUGGUGGUAAUAUGCCCAAAUUUGGGUGUGCUAUCAGCUAUUGUCUUGUCAGUUAUUCCCAUGAUUCGACCAUUUGAGUGGCAGAGUUUGUUGCUUCCAGUUAUGCCAAGAAAGAUGCUGGAUUUCCUUGAUGCUCCAGUUCCUUUUAUUGUUGGUAUACAACACAAAACAGCGGAUAACAAAAUUAAAUCAGCCAAUAUUAUACAAGUUAAUGUCUCCAAGGACCAGGUGAAGACAUGCUCAUUGCCUCAACUUCCUCGAUAUAAGGAACUUGUCUCUGAUCUAGGUCCUAUUCAUGCUCGGCUUUCAUGUGAAAAUUCCAUAGCUAAAAGACAUCCUGUUUACAGAUGCAGUGAAGUUCAGGUUAAUCCACACUCCAAUUGAAUACGGCUGAAGCUGCCGGCCACUUCUUAAGUGUCAUGAAAGGCUACCUAGAGUCCCUUUGUUCUAAUUUGCGGUCUCAUACCAUCACUAAUGUGCAAUCAAAUAAUGAUAAGGUGUCACUUCUCCUGAAAGACAGUUUUGUUGAUUCAUUCCCCGUCAAGGAUCGACCAUUCAUUAAGCUUUUUGUAGAGACACAGCUGUUCUCUGUUCUAUCAGAUUCUCGGCUUUCCACCUAUGAGCAUGAGUAGUCUUUACUUUGGUAAUAUACCAACUAAUGCAUGAUCAAUCAAGAGCUCAUUUUGUAGUAUCAAAAGCUGCAGAAAAUGUUAUGCACGAGCAUACACUACGGCUGCUCGGUGAACUGCUACAUGAUGUUCAUAAUUUACGUGCAGGGAAGGUUCCUGCAUAGAAUCUUAUUCCCAGAAAGAAAAUCAGCAUGCUUAUAUUGUAACUUGAUUACAUGGUAAUACUAUGGCAGGCCCUACCAAGUUUGGCUGCUUCGGGGCCUUCGGCCAUGAUGCAUCCCGGUCUUUUAAAAUGGGAUGCCAUGGCUUGUUAGGGUUGUGUUUGCUUGUCCUAUUGUUGUAUAUCUGUAUCCAAUAAACUUUUAUUGAGCGGGCCUUUGGUCACAGGCCAUUUUUUGUCUUAUGUCAAUAAAUUUUUACGAUCAUGUGAAUCACAAUCAUGACCACAUGUCGAGCUUAUAGUUUGUGGAGGUUGUUCAGUAUCCUAAAUUUAGAGAAUGCAUGUUCAUUUCAAUGCUUGAGAA